UCAAUUUCAUGGGCUGCAACCAGC
rnacentral:piRNA from 1 species